GAGUUUGAUCUUGGCUCAGAACGAACGCUUGCUGCAUGCUUUAUACAUGCAAGUCGAACGAAGGCCCUAGCUUGCUAGGUGUCCUUAGUGGCGCACGGGUGAGUAACACGUGGGAACAUACCUCAUAGUACGGAAUAACUGCGGGAAACUGUAGCUAAUACCGUAUAUUCCAGAAAUGGGAAAGAUUUAUCGCUAUGAGAUUGGCCCGCGCAAGAUUAGCUUGUUGGUAAGGUAACGGCUUACCAAGGCUCCGAUCUUUAGCUGGUUUGAGAGGAUGAUCAGCCACACUGGGACUGAGACACGGCCCAGACUCCUACGGGAGGCAGCAGUAGGGAAUAUUGGACAAUGGGGGAAACCCUGAUCCAGCAAUGCAGCGUGAGUGACGAAGGCCUUAGGGUUGUAAAACUCUUUCAUCGGUGAGGAUAAUGACAGUAGCCGAAGAAGAAGGACCGGCUAAUUCCGUGCCAGCAGCCGCGGUAAUACGGAAGGUCCUAGCGUUGUUCGGAAUUACUGGGCGUAAAGCGCAUGUAGGCGGAACAAAAAGUUAGAAGUGAAAUCCCUGGGCUCAACCUAGGAAUUGCUUUUAAAACUUUUGUUCUGGAAUUCAGGAGAGGAAAAUGGAAUUUCCAGUGUAGAGGUGAAAUUCGUAGAUAUUGGAAGGAACACCAGUGGCGAAGGCGAUUUUCUGGACUGAUAUUGACGCUGAGAUGCGAAGGCAUGGGUAGCAAACGGGAUUAGAUACCCCGGUAGUCCAUGCAGUAAACGAUGGGUGCUAGUCGUCGGACUUUUGUUCGGUGUCGUAGCUAACGCGUUAAGCACCCCGCCUGGGGGAGUACGGUCGCAAGAUUAAAACUCAAAUAAAUUGACGGGGACCCGCACAAGCAGUGGAGCAUGGUGGUUUAAUUCGACGCAACGCGAAGAACCUUACCAGCGUU
rnacentral:rRNA from 1 species